CGACUCAAGCCAGCAGUCAGGGGGGCAUGAUUCCCUGUUUUCAUCGUCUGUCUCCAGUGGACCAGUUUUUCAAUCAAUCACUGGCAAGUACUGGAUGCCUCUGAAGACAGCACAGGGGUGAGGGGGCGACAAGAGGUGUCCUCCCCAUCCCACCUCUGGCCACUAAGAGGAAAAACAGAGCCUAACGUCACCCUCAGAAGGUCGAACUCCAAAACCCACACCUGUCCCAGCAGAGGUCAGGCUCCCUCACCCUGGACAGCUCCCGCCUUCUCGGGCAGCCAGGACGUGCCAGACCUGAGGUGUUAGCACAUCCAGACAAUGGUCGUUCCAGUCUGGAGGCAGGUCUGGAUGCCUCCGCAGGAGAUGUUUUGCAGCUGAGGAAACUGAGGCAGAGAGAGGUGGAGGAGCUUGUCCCUCUGUGGACCCGGUGAGCAGGAGAGUCGUUCUGCAAAGCCAGACCGUCUGCACAAGAAACACAUUUAUCCACCACGCCAAUAGUUCUCAGAGUGGGGUCCGCGGCCAGCAGCAUCAGCAGCCCCUGGAACUUGGGAGGAAGGCAAGCUCUCUGGCCCCACCCAGGACCUACAGCAAUGUGGUUUCUCCUGGGGAUUCUGAUCCUUGCUCAGGGGUUUCUUUGCGGAGCACCGAUGCACUGCACGAGGCGUUGUAGGAGAGCGUGCUAAGGACGUGUGUGACUGUGACCAAACCUGAAGCCACCGCCUGCCCUCUCAGAGCCCACGAGGAAGAGCCGUGGACUCACAGCCAGCGCAUCUUGGGUCUGUGGGCAGUUUCAGAGCCUUCUUUGUGGAUACGGAGGCACGGCAUGAAGCCUGAGGCUGCUGGACGUGGGGGGCCUGGAAGGCUGUCAUCAUUUGCAAAACAUCAGGGAGCUGCCACUUAAAACCUGGGGACUCAAUCCACGGGACAGACGUGGACGGCUCUCCUGGCGGACCAGUCGUGUCUGUAAAUACUGCUAUUUACGUUUUAUUCGGGGACCUGUUCGUAAAAUUUCAAGUCAAAUAGGAGAGGAGCAAUGGCAGCUGUGUCCACCUUGAGUCUCUGC
rnacentral:lncRNA from 1 species